GAUGAACGCUGGCGGCGUGCCUAAUACAUGCCAGUCGAGCGAACAGACGAGGAGCUUGCUCCUCUGACGUUAGCGGCGGACGGGUGAGUAACACGUGGAUAACCUACCUAUAAGACUGGGAUAACUUCGGGAAACCGGAGCUAAUACCGGAUAAUAUAUUGAACCGCAUGGUUCAAUAGUGAAAGACGGUUUUGCUGUCACUUAUAGAUGGAUCCGCGCCGCAUUAGCUAGUUGGUAAGGUAACGGCUUACCAAGGCAACGAUGCGUAGCCGACCUGAGAGGGUGAUCGGCCACACUGGAACUGAGACACGGUCCAGACUCCUACGGGAGGCAGCAGUAGGGAAUCUUCCGCAAUGGGCGAAAGCUUGACGGAGCAACGCCGAGUGAGUGAUGAAGGUCUUCGGAUCGUAAAACUCUGUUAUUAGGGAAGAACAAAUGUGUAAGUAACUAUGCACGUCUUGACGGUACCUAAUCAGAAAGCCACGGCUAACUACGUG
rnacentral:rRNA from 1 species